GGUUCCAUAGUGUAAUGCUUAGCACGUCUGCUUUACACACAGAAGGUCCUGGGUUUGCCCCCCAGUGGAGCCA
rnacentral:tRNA from 1 species